UGUAGCUCAGUUGGUUAGAGUGUGUGGCUGUUAACCACAAGGUCGAAUGUUCAAUCCCUUCCA
rnacentral:tRNA from 1 species